rnacentral:rRNA from 1 species
GCAGCAGUGGGGGAUAUGCACCAUGGGCGCAGCUGAUGCAGCGACGCCGCGUGAGGGAUGAGCUCGGGUGUAAACUCUUUUAUCGGGAGCAAGCGAGAGUGAGUUUACCCGUGAAUAAGCACCGGGCUAACUACGUGCCAGCAGCCGCGGUAAUACGUAGGGUGCAAGCGUAUCCGGGAAUUAUUGGGCGUAAAGGGCUCGUAGGCGGUUCGUCGCGUCCGGUGUGAAAGUCCAUCGCUUAACGGUGGAUCCGCGCCGGGUACGGGCGGGCUUGAGUGCGGUAGGGGAGACUGGAAUUCCCGGUGUAACGGUGGAAUGUGUAGAUAUCGGGAAGAACACCAAUGGCGAAGGCAGGUCUCUGGGCCGUUACUGACGCUGAGGAGCGAAAGCGUGGGGAGCGAACAGGAUUAGAUACCCUGGUAGUCCACGCCGUAAACGGUGGAUGCUGGAUGUGGGGCCCGUUCCACGGGUUCCGUGUCGGAGCUAACGCGUUAAGCAUCCCGCCUGGGGAGUACGGCCGCAAGGCUAAAACUCAAAGAAAUUGACGGGGGCCCGCACAAGCGGCGGAGCAUGCGGAUUAAUUCGAUGCAACGCGAAGAACCUUACCUGGGCUUGACAUGUUCCCGACGGUCGUAGAGAUACGGCUUCCCUUCGGGGCGGGUUCACAGGUGGUGCAUGGUCGUCGUCAGCUCGUGUCGUGAGAUGUUGGGUUAAGUCCCGCAACGAGCGCAACCCUCGCCCCGUGUUGCCAGCGGAUUAUGCCGGGAACUCACGGGGGACCGCCGGGGUUAACUCGGAGGAAGGUGGGGAUGACGUCAGAUCAUCAUGCCCCUUACGUCCAGGGCUUCACGCAUGCUACAAUGGCCGGUACAACGGGAUGCGACGCGGCGACGCGGAGCGGAUCCCUGAAAACCGGUCUCAGUUCGGAUCGCAGUCUGCAACUCGACUGCGUGAAGGCGGAGUCGCUAGUAAUCGCGAAUCAGCAACGUCGCGGUGAAUGCGUUCCCGGGCCUUGUACACACCGCCCGUCAAGUCAUGAAAGUGGGCAGCACCCGAAGCCGGUGGCCUAACCCCUUGUGGGAUGGAGCCGUCUAAGGUGAGGCUCGUGAUUGGGACUAAGUCGUAACAAAGAGCAUAAAGCGGA